GCCUUAGUAACGGCGAGUGAAGCGGCAAAAGCUCAAAUUUGAAAUCUGGCACCUUCGGUGUCCGAGUUGUAAUUUGAAGAAGGUAACUUUGGAGUUGGCUCUUGUCUAUGUUCCUUGGAACAGGACGUCACAGAGGGUGAGAAUCCCGUGCGAUGAGAUGCCCAAUUCUAUGUAAAGUGCUUUCGAAGAGUCGAGUUGUUUGGGAAUGCAGCUCUAAGUGGGUGGUAAAUUCCAUCUAAAGCUAAAUAUUGGCGAGAGACCGAUAGCGAACAAGUACAGUGAUGGAAAGAUGAAAAGAACUUUGAAAAGAGAGUGAAAAAGUACGUGAAAUUGUUGAAAGGGAAGGGCUUGAGAUCAGACUUGGUAUUUUGCGAUCCUUUCCUUCUUGGUUGGGUUCCUCGCAGCUUACUGGGCCAGCAUCGGUUUGGAUGGUAGGAUAAUGACUAAGGAAUGUGGCUCUACUUCGGUGGAGUGUUAUAGCCUUGGUUGAUACUGCCUGUCUAGACCGAGGACUGCGUCUUUUGACUAGGAUGUUGGCAUAAUGAUCUUAAGCCACCCGUCUUG
rnacentral:rRNA from 1 species